GGUUGACCUCGGAUCAGGUAGGAGUUACCCGCUGAACUUAAGCAUAUCAAUAAGCGGAGGAAAAGAAACCAACCGGGAUUGCCUCAGUAACGGCGAGUGAAGCGGCAAGAGCUCAAAUUUGAAAUCUGGCCCCUUGGGGUCCGAGUUGUAAUUUGCAGAGGAUGCUUCGGGUGCGGUCCCCGUCUAAGUGCCCUGGAACGGGCCGUCAUAGAGGG
rnacentral:rRNA from 2 species